UGCACACUUGGGAAACAGUGGAGGGAGAGGAGGUGAGUCCUUCUCGGUUUAAAAGCCUCUCUCCCCCUUCUCCACUGAAGAGUGAAUCCAGAGCCUCUCUCCCACCAAGAUACUACUGUCUUUCCAGACCUCCUAAUGCUAACUCUUUAAACAGACAUGAAUUGCUUGCUUUUUAAAUUUUAUCCUCCUUCUGCUGUGCAGAUUGGCCAAGGACUCCCAAUCCUCUGGUCUUAGCCUCGUAAGUGAUUAAGGGAUUUCUCCAUCUUUCACAAUAUGGUCUCUACACUGGUGCCAGGACUAGAAUGUGCAAUUAGAAGCACAGGAAAAUCAAGUUUGGUGAACCUCUUACUUACAAGAAAUCUCGUCUCCCCUUUUCACACAACUGAAACAACCUAAUCAACGUCAUUCAUUCUUACAUUUUAGAAUCACACAUUUUCUUGGGUCAACACAUGUCAAGGAUUUAGCUCUAUGGGCCCUGAAACAGACACUAUCUUUUUCAUCCCUUUGAUUUACCUGUGACAUGCUUAGACAUUUAUUACAGCAUCUCAUUAAGUGGUGAAUGAGAGUCAUGUGUAUAGAACAGAUCCAAAAUUGUUUCUAAGAUGUAGAUUUUUUUGAAAAGUCCCAACAUUCCUUCCACACAAAGAUAGAUAUCAUACCUGUGUAUCAAUUAUAGCUUUAAUGGAAUAAGAUUAUCUGUCCUAUGGUAAUAAGGUUUUCUUUCUUCUGGGCAUCCACUUGCAAAGCUGUGCAAGAUCCCAUGCUUUAAAUGGCAAACAGUACUGCUCAUCUCACAGAAUUCAAGUUGAUCCAGAUGUGGAUUUGAUUAAUAGAAGCUUACUAACUGUGUCUAAUUACUGAUAAUGAUAGCAUCACGAGGCAACCUCCUCAUCAAUGUCACCUUGGUCUCUUCUGAUUGCUAGGAUAGGAAGAAACUCUACCUGCCGCCCUCCCCCAGUCAAAAUGAAAACAGGGUUGGUUUUAAACCUUGGUUUGAAUGGUAGUGAACACAGGUUCAAUAACAAGCAGCCAUCCAGAAGAUGAAAGUUGGUUUUUAGAGCCAUGUGGGAACUACAGACAUGUGGUCACUGGCUUUACAGUGAGGACAGAUUAGCUAAUAUCCAAAUCCUCAGAGUAGUGUUUAGUGAUCUUUUGGUAGUUUUCCCUUGACACUUAGAGCUCCAUUUUAAUUGUUUCUGUUUCCUAAAGCAGGGGAACAGAGUUUGUGUGUCAAGAAUAAAAGUGGAAAUAAACGUCUUUUCCUGUUAGAAUAAUUUUUUAUAGAGGUAAAACCCUUAACGUGGCUGUCUCUUGUAUCUUUGCUUAACAUUCCCAGAGUGUUUAUUGUUACUAUUCCCUAAACAGUGUUGCAUUUACAUUUUGUUGUACAUGUUAUGUGCAAUUUGCAGACAAACUAAAGUGUAUAGGAGGAUUGUGUACAUUAUAAAUAAGUACUGUGCCAAUUGAUGUGUAAGGGAUGAGCACUGUCAGAUUUGGGUAUCUGUGGGGGUCUUUGGAACAGUCCCUCAUGGAUUCCUAUGGAGGCUGUACAUGAUUAUAGCAUUAUUCUCUUUCAAGCCUAAUUGCCAGCAACUAGAUUUUCAACAUUCUCCCAAAUAUUUGGGGGCUCUUGAGAAUUCCCAGACAGCUCAUUCUCCUAUUAUGUUUUCUUGUUCUAUUUCCAUGUUGCCAGACUGCUGCCUAUGACACAGCCAGUAUUCUCCGGCUUCUGCUGUAUGCCCCAGCAAGGCUUCACUAAUAACUAUUGCUGAAUUCUCAGUGUGAUAUUGGGGAGAAGUCAUGCCAGGCUCAUUUGCUAUUUUUUUUUUUUUCUGAAACGUGGUGCAUGAGAGUUUAACUCACAUCACAAAAGAAACAAGGCUAAAAUAUUCAAGAGAGUCAAAAGUUAGGGAUGUGAAAACAACAGAAAAACUUGAUCAUCUAUUUAAAAUGGUCACAAUUAAAAUAAUUUUACUUAUUUGUGAUUUUUUUUUUUUGUGCAGGGGAUUGAUCUGAGGCCUUCUACAUGCUAGAGAAACAGGCAUCCAUGGGAAUCCAUCCUAGUUCUCAGAUGUUUUCUGAGAACUAGGCAACACACACACAUAUGUAUUGACGUGCCUUGAAGGAUAGUCACUAGAGUCCAGUAGUCCACUUUAAAAGUUGGAGACUAGCUAAGCCUUGAGGGUAACAUAUCACCAGCUCAUUCCUGAUCGCCCUUGUCUCAUUCUUUCCCAGAAUGUGAAUUUCUCAUAGUUCCGUCUAAGAUUCACUCCUAGAGCAUAUAGUACUCAGCAUGAACACAUAAUCCUUUAUGAGGAUAUAGCUUUAAAAGAAAAAUUCAUUUAGAAUAGUUUAUCCCCCUUUAUAGUUCCAUAUUGACUCUGUAGACAUAUUCUGUUUAUCCCGAUAUUUUUUAAAUAAAUGUUUGUGUUACUCGGAGAUGAUUAAACAAUAGGAUAUUUC
ensembl:lincRNA 4930467D21Rik RIKEN cDNA 4930467D21 gene